GAUGAACGCUAGCGGCAGGCUUAAUACAUGCAAGUCGAGGGGCAGCAGGAUUGUAGCAAUACAGUUGCUGGCGACCGGCAAACGGGUGCGGAACACGUACGCAACCUUCCUUUAACUGGGAGAUAGCCCAUCGAAAGGUGGAUUAAUAUCCCAUAGAAUAUUUGAAUGGCAUCAUUUAGAUAUUAAAGCUCCGGCGGUUAAAGAUGGGCGUGCGUCUGAUUAGGUAGUUGGCGGGGUAACGGCCCACCAAGCCCACGAUAAGUAGCUGAUGUGAGAGCAUGAUCAGCCACACGGGCACUGAGACACGGGCCCGACUCCUACGGGAGGCAGCAGUAAGGAAUAUUGGACAAUGGGCGCAAGUCUGAUCCAGCCAUGCCGCGUGAAGGAUUAAGGUCCUCUGGAUUGUAAACUCCUUUUAUAAGGGACGAAAAAAGGCUUUUCUAAGUCGUCUGACGGUACCUUAUGAAUAAGCACCGGCUAACUCCGUGCCAGCAGCCGCCGUAACAC
rnacentral:rRNA from 1 species